UCACGACUUGGUGGAGUGUCACGACGUG
rnacentral:piRNA from 1 species